AUUGAUGAGAAUUCUUAGGGUAGGGGUAAAAUUCGUAGAGUUUAAGAGGAAUACUUGGAGCGGAGGCGAAUCAUUGGAUAAUUUUGCGACAUUUGAGGACGAAAGCUUCGGUAGCAAAUGGGAUUAGAUACCCCAGUAGUCUUGGCCUUAAACAAUGGAGAUUAAAUCUUUUUUUAUAUCCUAUUUAUAUGAAUUUAUACUAAGGAUUUAAGUUAACGCGAUAAAUCUCCCGCCUGGGAAGUAUGUUCGCAAGAAUUAAACUUAAAGGAAUUGACGGGGNNNUGCACAAGCGGUGGAGUAUGUGGNUUAAUUCGAUGCAACGCGAAGAACCUUACCNGGCCUUGACAUGUAGUGGCCCGGGUGCGAAAUCACCCUUUUCUUCGGAACUGCUACACAGGUGCUGCAUGGCUGUCGUCAGCUCGUGUCGUGAGAUGUUGGGUUAAGUCCCGCAACGAGCGCAACCCCCGUGUUCUGUUGCCACCCGGAUGAGAAUCCGGAGCACUCUGGACAGACUGCCUGGUUUCAACCAGGAGGAAGGUGGGGAUGACGUCAAGUCAGUAUGGCCCUUACGGCCAGGGCUGCACACGUACUACAAUGCCCGGUACAAUGGGAAGCGAGACCGCGAGGUGGAGCAAAUCCUAAAAACCGGGCCCAGUUCAGAUUGUAGGCUGCAACUCGCCUACAUGAAGGAGGAAUCGCUAGUAAUGCCGUAUCAGCUACGACGGCGUGAAUACGUUCCCAGGCCUUGUACACACCGCCCGUCACAUCAUGAAAGUCGAUUGUACCCGAAGUCGCCGAGUUAACCGCAAGGAGACAAGCGCCG
rnacentral:rRNA from 1 species